rnacentral:rRNA from 1 species
ACAGAGGUGGCAAGCGUUGUUCGGAAUUACUGGGCGUAAAGGGCGCGUAGGCGGCCAUCUAAGUCAGACGUGAAAUCCCCCGGCUUAACCUGGGAACUGCGUCUGAUACUGGAGGGCUCGAAUUUGGGAGAGGGAUGUGGAAUUCCAGGUGUAGCGGUGAAAUGCGUAGAUAUCUGGAGGAACACCGGUGGCGAAGGCGGCAUCCUGGACCAACAUUGACGCUGAGGCGCGAAAGCUAGGGGAGCAAACGGGA